rnacentral:misc_RNA from 1 species
GGAAGUAAAAGUCGCAACAAGGUUUCCGUAGGUGAACCUGCGGAAGGAUCAUUAUUGGAUUUUGAAACUUCAGGCUGCUGCUGGCUCUCCUCGGAGGGCAUGUGCACGCUUGUUGUCCAUUACUUCUCCCACUGUGCACAAAUUGUAGACCUCUCAGUAGGCCUAUGUUGUUUUUCACAAUCUCUGAAUGUAAUAGAAUGGUUUUGAAUCUUGGGAAAUACAAUACAACUUUCAGCAACGGAUCUCUUGGCUCUC